rnacentral:rRNA from 1 species
AGAAUCAACGCUGGCGGCGUGCCUAACACAUGCAAGUCGAACGAGAAAGUGGAGCAAUCCAUGAGUACAGUGGCGUACGGGUGAGUAACACGUGACUACCUACCCUCGAGUGGGGAAUAACCUCGGGAAACCGGGGCUAAUACCGCAUAACAUCUACGGAUCAAAUGCGUAAGCAGCUUGAGGAGGGGGUCGCGGCCGAUUAGCUAGUUGGUGAGGUAAUGGCUCACCAAGGCAAUGAUCGGUAGCCGGCCUGAGAGGGCGCACGGCCACACUGGAACUGAAACACGGUCCAGACUCCUACGGGAGGCAGCAGUGGGGAAUUUUGCGCAAUGGGGGAAACCCUGACGCAGCAACGCCGCGUGGAGGAUGAAGCCCCUUGGGGUGUAAACUCCUUUCGAUCGGGACGAUUAUGACGGUACCGGAAGAAGAAGCACCGGCUAACUCUGCGCCAGCAGCCGC